CAGUCGCCGCGGUAAUUCGAAGGGUGCAAGCGUUACUCGGAAUUACUGGGCGUAAAGCGUGCGUAGGUGGUGGUUUAAGUCCGUUGUGAAAGCCCUGGGCUCAACCUGGGAAUUGCGGUGGAUACUGGGUCACUAGAGUGUGGUAGAGGAUAGUGGAAUUUCCGGUGUAGCAGUGAAAUGCGUAGAGAUCGGAAGGAACAUCUGUGGCGAAGGCGGCCAUCUGGGACAACACUGACGCUGAGGCACGAAAGCGUGGGGAGCAAACAGGAUUAGAUACCCCCGUAGUCCCUGUCUCUUAUAC
rnacentral:rRNA from 1 species